GAUGAAGAACGCAGCGAAAUGCGAUAAGUAAUGUGAAUUGCAGAAUUCAGUGAAUCAUCGAAUCUUUGAACGCACAUUGCGCCGGGUAGUAGUCUGCCGGGCAUGCCUGUUCGAGCGUCAUUUCAACCAUCAAGCCCAGCGCUUGUGUUGGGGGCCUGCGGCUGCCGCAGCCCCCUAAAAGCAGUGGCGGGCUCGCUAUCACACCGAGUGCAGUAGUUCAUCUUCUCUCCGGUCUUGUGAGGCGGGUUCCGGCCGUGAAACACCCCACUACAUUCAAGGUUGACCUCGGAUCAGGUAGGAAUACCCGCUGAACUUAAGCAUAUCAAUAAGCGGAGGA
rnacentral:misc_RNA from 1 species